AGGGGCUUAUGUUAAUGUUAGACAAAGAGCCUUCAAAGCUCUAAGUGUGGGUUAAAAUCCCUCAGCCCCUG
rnacentral:tRNA from 1 species